rnacentral:pre_miRNA from 9 species
UUUCGAUACCGUAAAAGUUAAGUCGAAUUUGUACGCUGUUGGAACGUUCGCCUACGUUUGCCGCUAGGGGCGCUGUUCCAACUGCAUACACAUUUGAGUUAACUUUUACGCUAUCGA